GAUGAACGCUGGCGGCGUGCCUAAUACAUGCAAGUCGAGCGAACAGACGCGGAGCUUGCUCCUCUGACGUUAGCGGCGGACGUGUGAGUAACACGUGUAUCACCUACCUAUAUUACUGGUAUAACUUCGGGAAACCGGAUCUAAUACCGUAUAAUAUAUUGAACCGCAUGGUUCAAUAGUGAAAUACGGUUUUUCUGUCUCUUAUAGAUGGAUCCGCGCCGCAUUAGAUAGUUGGUAAGGUAACGGCUUACCAAGGCAACGAUGCGUAGCCGAACUGAGAGGGUGAUCGGCCACACUGGAAGUGAGACACGGUACAGAGUCCUACGGGAGGCAGCAGUAGGGAAUCGUCCGCAAUGGGCGAAAGCCUGACGGAGCAACGCCGAGUGAGUGAUGAAGGUCUUCGGAUCGUAAAAAUCUGUUAUUAGGGAAGAACAAAUGUGUAAGUAACUAUGCACGUCUUGACGGUACCUAAUCAGAAAGCCACGGCUAACUACGUG
rnacentral:rRNA from 1 species